AGACUAGUAGCUAGAUAGUAAUGACUAGAUAAGUUUUCUAGCCAGUCACUAGCUUGUGACUGGCAAAAUACUUCUAAUCAAACUUUAAUUAUCUAGCUGCUGUCUAGUCACUAAAUAGAAAAUGAGUAGUAGGUGGCGCUGUCUUUUUUAAAAUAUACAGUCUAGCUACUAUCUCGCCACUAGCAGGAUUACAUUACUCUGCACGUCGAAAAGAAGGUUAUGUUACAAUAUUAAAUUCUGUCUAGUCACUAUCUAGUACCAAUAUGCUGUAAAUCCUACAUAGAAAUGAAAUGUCAGACGACAUGAAAAACUAUCAGUAUAUCUCGAAUCUGAUCGGGAUUGUCUAUUCAUUAUUUUGAGAAAAUGGAUAGAAAAGAAAAAAUACGCGAACGUGUACAAAAACAUCGACGGAUUAAGUCUGCAUUGAGAAACAUUGCUUUCUCUUCUUAUUUUUCACAGCGAUAUUGCAAAUACAAAAUUGCAAAAGAAAGAAAAAAUAAAUAUAUUAAAUGACUCAUAUAGUGAUUGUGAAUCUACAUUACAAAAUUAUGUUAUUACGGAUUCAAUUUCAACUGAUGAAACAGAUAUUGAUGACUAUAAUGAUAAUAAUGAUGAU